rnacentral:RNase_P_RNA from 1 species
GAAGCUGACCAGACAGUCGCCGCUUUGUCGUCGUCCCUCUUGUAGGGAGACGGGCAGAGGGGAGGAAAGUCCGGGCUCCAUAGGGCAAGGUGCCAGGUAACGCCUGGGGGGCGCAAGCCUACGACCAGUGCAACAGAGAGCAAACCGCCGAUGGCCCAUUUAUGGGAUCAGGUAAGGGUGAAAGGGUGCGGUAAGAGCGCACCG